rnacentral:rRNA from 1 species
GACCUCGGAUCAGGUAGGGAUACCCGCUGAACUUAAGCAUAUCAAUAAGCGGAGGAAAAGAAACCAACAGGGAUUGCCUCAGUAACGGCGAGUGAAGCGGCAACAGCUCAAAUUUGAAAUCUGGCUCUUUCAGGGUCCGAGUUGUAAUUUGUAGAAGAUGCUUUGGGUGUGGCUCCGGUCUAAGUUCCUUGGAACAGGACGUCAUAGAGGGUGAGAAUCCCGUAUGUGACUGGUUGCCUUCGCCCGUGUAAAGCUCUUUCGACGAGUCGAGUUGUUUGGGAAUGCAGCUCAAAAUGGGUGGUAAAUUUCAUCUAAAGCUAAAUAUUGGCCAGAGACCGAUAGCGCACAAGUAGAGUGAUCGAAAGAUGAAAAGCACUUUGGAAAGAGAGUUAAACAGUACGUGAAAUUGUUGAAAGGGAAGCGC